rnacentral:lncRNA from 1 species
UUUUAUUAGAAGAUAAUCGUGGUUAUAAUUUCAUUUAGAAAAUUAAUUAGGAUUAUGGUUGAUCAUGGAUUUUAAUCUUGAUUAUUUUCCUAUAUUCAUAUCUUUAACUCAUGAAUUGAUGAACUUAAGGAUUAAUUUCAUUUAGGAAUUUAAGUAAGAUUAAGGUUUUGGUCAUGACUUUCAGCUUGAUUACAUGUAUUACAUUUAUGACUUUCAUCUUGAU